UGGGGAAUUUUGCACAAUGGGGGAAACCCUGAUGCAGCGACGCCGCGUGAUUUAGAAGGCCUUCGGGUUGUAAAAAUCUUUUGUAUAGGAAGAAAAUGACAGUACUAUACGAAUAAGGACCGGCUAAUUACGUGCCAGCAGCCGCGGUAAUACGUAAGGUCCGAGCGUUGUCCGGAAUCAUUGGGCGUAAAGGGUACGUAGGCGGGUAAGCAAGUUAGAAGUGAAAUCCUAUAGCUCAACUAUAGUAAGCUUUUAAAACUGCUCAUCUUGAGGUAUGGAAGGGAAAGUGGAAUUCCUAGUGUAGCGGUGAAAUGCGCAGAUAUUAGGAGGAAUACCGGUGGCGAAGGCGACUCUCUGGUCUGUAACUGACGCUGAGGUUCGAAAGCGUGGGUAGCAAACAGG
rnacentral:rRNA from 1 species